UAUAGUAUAUAUAAUGUAUAGGUUAUAUCAGGUUUUAUAUUACGUGAAACAUAAGCGUGUAGUUUAAAUGUAAACUUGAAAAUGCAUAUUAUAAUAUUUUCUAAAUGACAGUACAAUCAACAUAUCAGUACAAUGACAUUUUUCAAUUUCACUGCAUUUAGAGGAACACGAUUAGUGUUUAAAUUUAAGAAAUCGAAUAAAAUAUUCUUAUCAAUUGUUAAAUCGAAAACACAACAUUAUGUUUGUAACAGAGAAUCACAUACGACACCGAAAAGUGGUCUAUUGAGUGUGUUAUUUUUUGGUACAGACGAAUUUUCGGUUGAAAGUUUAAAAGUCUUGUAUAAUAAAUACCAGUCUAAAGUUUUACGACGAUUGGAAGUUGUUACUGUAAAUAAAGGAAAAGAAAAUGCAGUGAUGAGUUAUGCAAAAGAGAAUAAAAUUAUUGUAAAUAACUGGCCACCUAAGCUCAAUGCAUCUGAAUUUCAUAUUGGGAUAGUUGUGUCAUUUGGUCAUAUGAUUCCAUCGAGUAUUAUAAAUUCAUUCCCAUUGGGUAUGUUAAAUGUUCAUGCUAGCUUAUUACCAAGAUGGAGAGGAGCAGCACCAAUAGUUUAUUCAAUAAUGAAUGGAGAAGUGCAAACAGGAGUUACAAUAAUGAAGAUUAUGCCAAAAAAAUUUGAUGUAGGAGAAAUAGUGUUACAAGAAAAAAUUAAUAUUGGUGAACAUGAAACAUUGCCAGAACUAUAUGCUAGAUUAGCAAAGCUUGGAGCAAAUCUUUUAGUAAACGUACUUGAAAAUUUACCACAAAUAUUGCAAUCUGCAAGACCUCAAGAUGAAGAAAAUGUCACAUAUGCACCAAAAAUAACAUCAAAAAUAGCUGUAAUUAAGUGGAAUGAAAUGUCUGCAAGAAAUAUUUAUGACUUACAUCGCGCUCUUUUAGGAGUGUAUCCAGUUACUGCAACAUUUCAGAACGCAAAAAUAAAGUUACAUGAUGUCAAAGAGAUAAAAGAACCAAUUCCAUCAACACUUGAAGGAGAAAUGCCAGGGGUUGUAAUAUAUGAUAAGAAAAGUGAUGCAUUAAUUAUAAAAUGUAAAGGAGGAAACUGUAUUUCUGUAAAGAAAGUUGUCAUGAAAGGUAGAUCUCCUAUGUCUGCACGUGACUUUUAUAAUGGUUUUAUGGCUAGCAGAAAUAAAAGAAAAGAAUUCUUUGUUUGAAUUUUUGUACGAUAUUUACACGUUGAUCGAGAUCAUGCGAAUCCUAAAGCAACGAAUGUUGAAAUCCUGAAUAUACAUUUAAAACAUAAAUGAUCGCAAUCUGCGCAAUGCCAGGAGUAGCCUCUUCUUUUGGGCGACUUUUUAACUGGUGGAUCAAGACAGGUGAAGUGGUAGCAUUUUUUACAUUCAUCACACCUGGGACGUGAAAAGUGAUAAUGUCAUGAAUACAGAAUAUGUUUAAAACAUCUAUAUAUUUAAUAUAUUUAUAUAAACUGACAUGACGAGAUUUUGACUGGUGCCAGGCAUAUCACAGACAUUGCAAUGAGUUAGAAGGUGCAGCAUUUGAAAUUAAAGGUUGUAUCGACGGAACGGGUAGAGCAGGCGGCGGAAGUGGCAGUUUAGGUAGUGGCGGAGAUGUGAUUUCAGUACUGGUAGAUGUGGCUACAAACAUCUGCGGACUUGAUUCAGAAGCAACUUCACCCUCUGGUCUUGGUAUUGGUUUUAUCUGUUUAAUGAAAUAAAUUGGUGUAAAAAAAAAAAGAUAUAUCAAUAUACUUUUGUUUGUAUCGUAAUAAAAAUGUACCUUUAUCGUUA